ACUCAUUAUAAUCCAUAUGCACUUCUGUACCUGAGCCCCCAAUAGCAUGACCAAUAUUGAGGAAGAUUGAAUAACCACCAGGCAUAUCACAAUGUUCCGCAUCAGCAUUUCGUCCAAGGUUAGUACCACGUGUAACUGAAUCUUCCAAGUACAUGGAACAAAACGACAUGGUCUCAUCAUUGAUGUAGCCUUCAGCAAUUGAACCCUCUGGUCGACUUUUGUUACGGACAUACCCCUUAAGUGUCCUCAAGUUCAUGAUUAAGUGUGAGGUACAAUACAAACAUAUUUAAUAAGAAAGAACCUUGAAGAUUAAACCAAGAGAAACAAACAUAAGUUAAGACUAUGAGAUCAGUAACAUCAAGUUCUAUUUCAAAAACAAAUUUGUUUAUUUAUUUAGGUAUUAUGUUCCAUAAACACAAAAAAUAAAAUAAACUUACAUACCUCUCCACAGGCCACAUCGUCCGGAAGUGAACAGGGCCGGCAAUUGCAGCUUCAUAUGCUAAGUGAACUGGCAAAUGAACCAUAAUGUCAAAGAAAGAAGGUGGAAACAUUUUCUCCAGCUGGCAAAGAAUAAGAACUAUGCUUGGUGUCAAUUGUGAAAAUGACUUGCUUGUAGAAUUGUUUACACCCAAGCGUCGAAAAAAUGAACUUAAUUCCAACAAGACCUUGCACAAAGGUUUUGGAAGAACUCGUCGAAUAGCAAGUGGCAGUAGGUGGUGCAAGAUAAUAUGAUAGUCAUGACUUUUCAGUCCAACUAAUUUUUUUUCUUUUACUUGGACACAACCAGCUAUGUUAGAUGAGAAGUUAUCAGGAGGCCUGAACGAUGCCAAUACUUCGAACAUCAUAGUCUUUUCAUCAUUAGCCAAUGUAAAUAUAGCUGGAGGGCAUAAAGUUUUUC
rnacentral:lncRNA from 1 species